rnacentral:lncRNA from 1 species
GGCUUCGGUAAAAAAAAAACAGAACGUCCUGAGGAUGUAACGCGCCAUUUGGAAAAAUAAAUUUGUCGGUUUCUUAAACGGUUGUGAAGAUUAAGCGAUAACAAAAAAAACAGUGUUCGGGGAGAUAACUCUUAUAUGGGAAAGUAUUGGGUUUCGCGGUGUCAGUUUCAAAAGCGCACAAACUGUUCGAUAUCAUAUUUCAUUUAUUUAAGCGACAUCUUGCGAAACAAAAAAACAGCGAAGGAAAAAAAUGUUGGCGGAAAAAAAAAUAAUAAUAAUAAUAAUAAUAAUAAUCAGAACAAAAACAAUAGGUCUUUCAUCCGAAAGGUUGAAAGACCUAAUAAUAGGGAAAAACUGGAGUUGUCGUUCUUCACGUUGAUAGAAUGGAUAGCACACAAGCUACAUUCAGUUGUAAGUGGAGGGUAAAAAAAAAGGGGGGGCCAAAAGGGUCCAGAGGAUUUUUUUUUUUUUUUUUUAUAUUAAUGGAACAGAAUGGUUAAAAAGGCCUUUUUACAAUAUAAAUCAAUUGCUUUUAAAAAGCAAUUGUGAACGGUCUUUCACCCCCUUAAAAAGAUGAUUGAUUGAUGUGUGUGUGUGUGUGUGUGUGUGUGUGUGUGUGUGUGUGUGUGUGUGUGUGUGUGUGUGUGUGUGUUGUUUGUUUGUUUGUUUGUUUGUUUGUUUGUUUGUUUGUUUGUGUAAGGGGUCUAUAGUAUUGUGUUACCGGAGAAGUUUCAUGUUUAGUUUGGAAAGUGUUUCUUUUAUUUUAGGUACAGCGCGCGCGACAUCACGUGACACGGGUUUAUAAUAACGAAAACUUAGUCUUUUUAUUUUUCUUUUGAG